rnacentral:rRNA from 1 species
CGGCCGUAAAGUAACCGGAGGAAGGUGGGGAUGACGUCAAAUCAUCAUGCCCCUUAUGACCUGGGCUACACACGUGCUACAAUGGGCGGUACAAAGGGUCGCGAACCCGCGAGGGGGAGCCAAUCCCAAAAAGCCGCUCUCAGUUCGGAUUGCAGGCUGCAACUCGCCUGCAUGAAGCCGGAAUCGCUAGUAAUCGCGGAUCAGCAUGCCGCGGUGAAUACGUUCCCGGGCCUU